CAGGUUACUCGUUUAUUUUUCUUUUCUUUUAAGUUUACAUAGUUUUUUGCUACGUUUUUACUAUAUACAUAUAUACAACGUUGUUACGAAGAGCCAGACUGUGUAAAACAGGUGUAGGUGAGAGAGUAUUUUUUUUCUUUUGUUUUAUAGAACUUUUUUUUGUUCAAGGUUUAGGUAUUAUAGACGUCGAGAAUAUCAUUGUUAUACACGCUUCUCGAAUUGUAAAGAUUUCUAUAUAUUAUCAUGUUCGUUUACAUGAUUUAUAUAUGCAAAUUUUGUAUUAUACAAAUAAAAAAAGAGAAUUUUUCAUACACAUCACGAAAUGACAUUGUUUCUUCUCUCGUUUCCGGUUUCCGGCGUACCGUUAUGCGAGAUUACGAGAGUGAUUCGAGGAAGCGAAUAGCACAGGUAUAAAAAUAAUACGACGACUGAUGCUUUAAGGGUCUUGCACUCAGGGUUGAGCCACAGCGCCGCAAGUUUCGCAAGCCUCAAGGAGCAUCUUUGACAGCGCUCGACGCCUCGUUCUUGUGCGCAAAAAAUCGAUGCAAUCUUUGAACUCACUCGUGAACUCGUAAACGUUUAUUGAUUUAAUCCAGUCCGAUUCGGUUAUCAGUAUCUCCUUAACGAGCUAAUUCGAGAGUAAAGUAGUUGUAAAUAUUCGUAUCACUAUUUUUUAUCGUCGCUUAUCUUUGUGGAUAAUGCUCGUCAACGCUCGCUGCGCACUGCUAUUAAGUAUACAAUAAUGCGUCUUAAUUAGGCGAUCAAUUAAAAAAUGUCUAUAUACUCGCAAAAUUCUAUGCCAGUUUUUCUAGGUGUACCACGGCGCAUUAGACUCGAGAAAUACACGAUAAUGCCAGUGUAAAGAAGCCAAAGUUAUUGAAAAAGCGUCAAGAUCGCCGAUUAUGCAAUCGCCUCGUCCAUCAAGCUUUCGUCAAAAUGAAGAAAAACGUCGCAUCGAUCAGGCCUCUCUAAUUGACAACGUCCACUAUAAUAUGCCUUCCGAGUGCUAACUCAAGCGUCAAUCCUCCAGAAGCUUUCGGCCAUAUAGUAUCGACUCGACUGGCACUAGCACUACUUCCUGGGGGAAGCGCAUUAUCAACCUUCCGCGCUAAUUUUAAAGGCAUGUGAGAGAGAGAUCCUUGGCGCGAAGACGACGGCUUGACGAUCAGCCAACGUUGUGCGCGAUAUAGUGUAUGUGCGACAGAGAAAGAACGACUAAGGUCGAGCGAGACUAAAGGAACGGGCCGUCGGUGGCUGAGCUUCAUUUCGCUCUCGGACCGCUCCGGCAGACAACACUCACGCGAGCAAAGUAAGCGAGCUUGAAAGCACAUCGAUAGUCGCGCUGAAAGCUUCGAACGUUGCACGCUCUUUUCUCUUAUUGUUCGUCCGCAGACUUUCUUUUUUUUUAAACUUAAAAAUUUGCGACGAUUUUGAUUUUGGCCUUUUUAUAUGAUAAAUUUCAUCCGACGCUCGUUCGUUCUAUUUUUUGGCAACAUGUCGAAAACGAGGAUUUGCAUCGUUGGAAGCGGAAACUGGGGCUCGGCGAUCGCGAAGAUCGUGGGCGCUAAUGCCACCAAGUUCAGCGACAAGUUCGAGGAGAAGGUGACGAUGUACGUGUUCGAGGAGAUGGUCAACGGCAAGAAGCUCACCGAGAUCAUCAACGAGACGCACGAGAACGUCAAGUACCUGCCAGGACACAAGCUUCCGCCAAAUAUCGUCGCGGUGCCGGACGUCGUGGAGGCGGCCAAGGAAGCCGAUAUUCUGAUCUUCGUGGUGCCCCAUCAGUUCAUCCCCGGCCUGUGCGCGACUUUGCUGGGAAAGAUCAAGCCCAGCGCCGUUGGACUGUCGCUCAUCAAGGGAUUCGCUCAGGGCGACGGUACCAACAUCAAGCUCAUUUCCAAGAUCAUCGAGGAGAAGCUGAAGAUCCCCUGCUCGGUACUGAUGGGUGCCAAUCUUGCCAACGAGGUCGCCGAGGAGCACUUCUGCGAGACCACUAUCGGCUGCAAAGACAAGCGCAUGGGUCCCAUCAUGAAGGACUGCAUGCAGACGCCAAACUUCCGAGUCACAGUCGUGGAGGACACGGAAGCCGUUGAGGUCUGCGGCGCCCUGAAGAACAUCGUCGCCUGCGCUGCCGGUUUCGUCGACGGUCUCGCCCUAGGUGACAACACCAAGGCCGCCGUCAUCAGGCUUGGCCUCAUGGAGAUGGUCAGGUACGUCGACCAGUUCCACGGCGGUUCCAAGAUCAACACCUUCUUCGAGAGCUGCGGUGUCGCCGAUCUCAUCACCACCUGCUACGGUGGCAGGAACCGCAAAGUCUCCGAAGCCUUCGUCAAGACCGGCAAAUCGAUCGAGGAACUGGAGAAAGAAAUGCUGAACGGCCAGAAGCUCCAAGGCCCGGCGACAGCCGAGGAGGUGAACGGCAUGCUCAAGGGCUGCAACUCGACGGACAAGUUCCCGUUGUUCACAGCGGUGCACCGCAUCUGCGCGAAGGAGCUGAAGCCUCAGGACCUGAUCGACCAGAUCCGCAACCAUCCCGAGCAUGCGUGCGUAACUUCCGAUACCGAUAACUACGAUUCUUGCGGCGGUGGCUGCGGCUCCUUCAUACCCGAUCGUAUCAAGCUUAGUCUAGUCAUCAAGUUCAAUCUCAACCGGCCCUUUCACAGCGAGGCCGUAGCUCCCCAGACUCUCUAGAAUCUCCUUCUAUGAUAUACUCCUUCUUUUCGUUGACUGUCGUCAAUUGCUUUUUGCUUCCCUAGCGUUUUAGUUUUACUCGCCGCUGUAGAUGCAGGAUUGCCUGUAGGAUUGAGAUGUAUUAUAUCUAGAAGUAAUCUAAGCUCCACUCAGAGGCUGAUGCACACUGUUGUGGGAGAUUAAGAAGUUUCCAGCUGAAUUAUCGCUGAUCACUUUUUGCAAUAUCGAUUUGAAAAGUGUAUUUGUAAACAGUGUGCAACAGCCGACUCGCUUAUAACAUUAUGCUCGUUCUCCCGCAGAUUCAUACCCCGAAAUCUCCACCUGUGAGAACAUUCCAUGGCUAACUCGUCGACUCAUACCAUUCGCAAUUAACAUUCCAUCGACUAACGACCUCUCUUCACGCGCUGCAGCGAAAGGUGCGACCGAACUGGAGUAUACGCAAUACGUAGUGCAUCUAGAUUUUUUUUCUACGCUGUUUCUCUCGACUGACGCUACCUUUGGCUGUGAAAUCUCACAGCGAGACAAUAAGCUGUCGCAGAAGACUAACCAACGAGUAACUCGAGCAUCUCGGACGAUCCCCCAGGCGAUCGGUGUUAAUGUGAUAUAUAAGUAUAUAAUAUGUAUAAGCGUUGUGUACACUGAAAAGAAAAAGAAUAUACGCCACUUAUUCCUGACAAUCACCUUUGUACGUACACUGUAUGAUGUAAAUAUAUGCGCGAUGCUAUUUAA